UCGCUACUACCGAUCGGAUGGCUUAGUGAGGUGUACGGAUUUGGGUGCUUGAAUGGCUUGUUCAUUCUUGUGCUCGGAGAAGUACAACAAACUUGAUCAUCUAGAGGAAGUAA
rnacentral:rRNA from 1 species